UACGGGGGGGGGCAAGCGUUGUUCGGAUUUACUGGGCGUAAAGGGCGCGUAGGCGGCGCAACAAGUCACUUGUGAAAUCUCCGGGCUUAACUCGGAACGGUCAAGUGAUACUGUUGUGCUAGAGUGCGGAAGGGGCAACUGGAAUUCUCGGUGUAGCGGUGAAAUGCGUAGAUAUCAAAGUGGAACACCAGUGGCGAAAGGCGAGUCCCCUAGACAACUCCUGACACUGAGGCACGAAAGCUAGGGGGAGCAAAACAGGG
rnacentral:rRNA from 1 species